rnacentral:lncRNA from 1 species
AUGUAUUGUCAUGUUGUGUGUUUCUGUCCUUUCCCUUCACCCUGUCUCCCUCUGCUGGUCGUUGUUAGGUUACCUUUUCUCCCCCUCUUUUCCCCAGCUGUGCCUUGUCUCCUCCUAACUACCCAUUCACCCCGUUUCCCACCUGUUCCCUUUUUCCCUCUGAUUAGGUCCCUAUAUCUCUCUCUGUCCCUAUAUCUCUCUCUGUUUUUGUUCCUGUCCUUGUCGGAUUCUUGUUUGUUGUGUUUCAUGCCUGAACCAGACUAUCGUCCUGUUUGCUGUAACCUUGUCCUGUCCUGUCGGAAUCUGCCGGUCUAUCUGAGCCUACCUACGUUUGGUUAUUAAAGAAGCUCUGUUUAAGUUAGUUCGCGUUUGGGUCCUCAUUCACUCACCUUAACAUGGAAGGUUCUCCCAUCUCCACAGAGGAACUCUAGAGCUCUGUGAGAGUGACCAUCAGUUUCUUGGUCACCUCCCUGAUCAAGGCCCUUCUCCUCAGAUUGCUCAGUUUGGCCGGGCGGCCAGCUCUAGGAAGAGUCUUGGUGGUUCCAAACUUCUUCCAUUUAAGAAUGAUGGAGGCCACUGCGUUCUUGGGGACCUUCAAUGCUGCAGAAUUAUUUUGGGCACCCUUCCCCAGAUCUGUGCCUCAACACAAUCCUGUCUUAGAGCUCUAAUGACAAUUCAUUCUACCUCAUGGCUUGGUUUUUGCUCUGACAUGUAUUGCCAACUGUAGGACCUUAUAUAGACACGUGUGUGCCAUUCCAAAUCGAGUCCAAUCAAUUGAAUUUCCCCCAGGUGGACUCCAAUCAAGUUGUAGAAACAUCUCAAGGAUGAUCAAUGGAAGCAGGAUGCACCUGAGCUCAAUUCUGAGUCUCAUAGCAAAGGGUCUGAAUACUUAUGUAAAUAUGGUAAAAAAAUUCUUAAAGAAAACUGCCUUCGCUUUGUCAUUAUGAAGUAUUGUGUGUAGAUUGCUGAGGAUUUUUUUUAUUUAAUCAAUUUCAGAAUAAGGCUGUAACGUAACAAAAUGUGGAAAAAUCCAAGGAGUCUGAAUACUUUCUGAAGGCGCUGUAUGCUUUCUCACAGACUGUGAGUCAAACAGACAUACAGACACACCCCUUUGUGCCUUGUCUGUGGGAAGGCAGUCUGUCGUGGGGGUCUGUCAGGACAGCAAUAGACAUUGGGGGCUGCCCAGAUAUGGACAUACACUAUUGGAAAGAAGCUUUGCCAAGAGUCCUCCAGUAAAACAUAGAGUGGAUGAAUCUGAGAGAGAGCAGAGUGUGUGUGUGUGUGUGUGUGUGUGUGUGUGUGUGUGUGUGUGUGUGUGUGUGUGUGUGUGUGUGUGUGUGUGUGUGUGUGUGUGUGUGUGAUUGGUAGAGGUAUAUGUUAUGGUGAGAAUGCGUGUAUGUUUGGGGGAUCUGAGAAAUAAGUCUGUCUGAAGAGAUGAGUCUUCAAUUUGGUGCCUUUCCAUGUGUGGUC